rnacentral:rRNA from 1 species
UACGUAGGGUGCAAGCGUUAAUCGGAAUUACUGGGCGUAAAGCGUGCGCAGGCGGCUUUGCAAGACAGAUGUGAAAUCCCCGGGCUCAACCUGGGAACUGCAUUUGUGACUACAUGGCUAGAGUGCGGCAGAGGGGGAUGGAAUUCCGCGUGUAGCAGUGAAAUGCGUAGAUAUGCGGAGGAACACCAGUGGCGAAGGCGGUUGCCUGGAGCUUUGCUGACGCUGAUGCGCGAAAGCGUGGGGAGCGAUCCGG